GGGUCAGGAAGCAGGGGCUGUGCGGCCCUGCGCUGCGGACGCGGACCCCGGCGUGCGCGGCCCGCUAGAGAGCGCUUGGCGGGCGCUGGGGCGUGGAGCAGGAAGAAUGAUACAAAAAUCAACAAGCCUCAGUAUGUACUACAAAUGUGGCAAGAAGAGAACAAGGGCUGCUGAUCAUGAUUGAAUUUGGGGUUUCAUGCUGGAAGAAAAGUCAUUUUAAACUCUGUUAUCUUAUUUCUAAUAAGUAUCUCUCCUUGGGAAAUUUUCAAGAAAGCUGUGGGAGACCAAGGACCAUAUAUGUAGUGAAGGAGCCAACAAUCUAAAGGGUUUUCUGUUUCUGCCAUAAGAAUGAGGUGGUGCUUCUUGAUUUCAAGAGUGUCAGAGUGAUUUGCAUAAUAUCC